rnacentral:rRNA from 2 species
CAAUAAGCGGAGGAAAAGAAACCAACAGGGAUUGCCUCAGUAACGGCGAGUGAAGCGGCAAAAGCUCAAAUUUGAAAUCUGGCCCUUUCAGGGUCCGAGUUGUAAUUUGCAGAGGAUGCUUCGGGAGCGGCGGCGGUCUAAGUCCCCUGGAACGGGGCGUCAUAGAGGGUGAGAAUCCCGUCUUGGAUCGCAUUGCCGUGACCGUGUGAAGCUCCUUCGACGAGUCGAGUUGUUUGGGAAUGCAGCUCUAAAUGGGUGGUAAAUUUCAUCUAAAGCUAAAUACUGGCUGGAGACCGAUAGCGCACAAGUAGAGUGAUCGAAAGGUUAAAAGCACCUUGAAAAGGGAGUUAAAUAGCACGUGAAAUUGUUGAAAGGGAAGCGCUUGCAACCAGACUCUGCCUCGGAGGCUCAGUGGGCACGUGUGCUCAUGCACUCCUCCGGUGGUGGGGCCAGCAUCAGUUCUGACGGCCGGUCAAAGGCCCCUGGAAUGUAUCGUCCUCCGGGACGUCUUAUAGCCAGGGGUGCAAUGCGGCCAGUUGGGACUGAGGAACGCGCUUCGGCUCGGAUGCUGGCGUAAUGGUUGUAAGCGACCCGUCUUGAAACAC